rnacentral:rRNA from 2 species
UUCGGCUCGUAAAACUCUGUUGUUAAAGAAGAACAUAUCUGAGAGUAACUGUUCAGGUAUUGACGGUAUUUAACCAGAAAGCCACGGCUAACUACGUGCCAGCAGCCGCGGUAAUACGUAGGUGGCAAGCGUUGUCCGGAUUUAUUGGGCGUAAAGCGAGCGCAGGCGGUUUUUUAAGUCUGAUGUGAAAGCCUUCGGCUCAACCGAAGAAGUGCAUCGGAAACUGGGAAACUUGAGUGCAGAAGAGGACAGUGGAACUCCAUGUGUAGCGGUGAAAUGCGUAGAUAUAUGGAAGAACACCAGUGGCGAAGGCGGCUGUCUGGUCUGUAACUGACGCUGAGGCUCGAAAGUAUGGGUAGCAAACAGGAUUAGAUACCCUGGUAGUCCAUACCGUAAACGAUGAAUGCUAAGUGU